rnacentral:tRNA from 1 species
GCCCAUCUAGCUCAGUCGGUAGAGCAUAAAACUUCAAACCAUGUGGUUGUGGGUUCAAACCCCCACAGUUUGCA